AAGUCGUAACAAGGUUUCCGUAGGUGAACCUGCGGAAGGAUCAUUAAUGAAAUGAAUGUCGAGAAGGGUUGUAGCUGGCCUUUUGGGGCAUGUGCACACCUUGAUCGCACAUCCACCUCUCACACCUGUGCACUAUGUGUAGCUUGGGAUGAUUACAGUGUUGGAAACGACGUUGAAAGCCCUAGCUAUGAAUUUUUAUACACCCACAUACAAAGUUAUAGAAUGGAUAAUGUUAUAGCGCGAAUAUAUACAACUUUCAGCAACGGAUCUCUUGGCUCUC
rnacentral:misc_RNA from 1 species